GGAUUGUAGUCUGCAACUCGACUACAUGAAGCUGGAAUCGCUAGUAAUCGCGAAUCAGAAUGUCGCGGUGAAUACGUUCCCGGGUCUUGUACACACCGCCCGUCACACCAUGGGAGUCGUAAAUGCCCGAAGUCGGUGACCCAACCGCAAGGAGGGAGCCGCCGAAGGCAGGUAUGAUAACUGGGUGAAGUCGUAACAAGGUAGC
rnacentral:rRNA from 1 species